rnacentral:rRNA from 1 species
UAGGGAAUCUUCGGCAAUGGGGGCAACCCUGACCGAGCAACGCCGCGUGAGUGAAGAAGGUUUUCGGAUCGUAAAGCUCUGUUGUAAGAGAAGAACGUGUGUGAGAGUGGAAAGUUCACACAGUGACGGUAACUUACCAGAAAGGGACGGCUAACUACGUGCCAGCAGCCGCGGUAAUACGUAGGUCCCGAGCGUUGUCCGGAUUUAUUGGGCGUAAAGCGAGCGCAGGCGGUUUAAUAAGUCUGAAGUAAAAGGCAGUGGCUUAACCAUUGUUCGCUUUGGAAACUGUUAAACUUGAGCGCAGAAGGGGAGAGUGGAAUUCCAUGUGUAGCGGUGAAAUGCGUAGAUAUAUGGAGGAACACCGGUGGCGAAAGCGGCUCUCUGGUCUGUAACUGACGCUGAGGCUCGAAAGCGUGGGGAGCAAACAGG